CUCGGUAAGGCAAUGCGCUUCGCGGCGGCGCUGCGCUGCUCCCUCGCACGCGCGUGACCGCGCCGCCGCCGUUGCCUCGCCUCUCCUCGCAGCCUCUCUCUGCCUCUCCUCGUCGCCACUGAGCACUGGGUCUCGGUGCCGCCGCCGCCGUCCGCUUGUCCCGAGCCGCGUAGGCCGGAGGACGGGGGCGCACACCACCGGUCCCCGCCGCGGCGCCGCAUCGGCACAGCCACAGACCACCGCCGAGCGAAGGCGUCCAUCUGCCGCACCGCCACCGGUCGCCAGCUCCGGGAGCUCGGGAACCCCGUCUGACUGGCUCCCUCUCGCACUGUCGCCUGACCCUCAUCCCCUGCCCGUCGCUGUCGACCGCCGUUCGCGGCUUCUCUACCCUCCGCGCCGCGGCUCCCGGCUGCCGUCUCCUGCUCCUACAGGACCACCGGACGAAAAUUUCUUGUUACGCCACUACUUCAUAAGCUACUGCGACGAUCUCUCUUCCUAGGCACCUCCACCCGGUGGCCUGGCUACCUGCUACACCGAUUCACCCUUUACUUGGGUAUUGUUUCCCCCAUUUGCAAAAUGCUGCCUAAGGAUACUUUUGAUAAUCUCCAAGCCAAGGUUCAAAUGUGUUUCGUUAGGAUAAUAGCUAUGAGUGCAGGAAAACCGACUUUAUUUGCUCCAGGAAUAGUUAUUGCGAAGAAGAAGCUAUCAUGCUACGUCAUAACAGACAAGGGGACAUUUUGUUAUGGUUCUGAAGGGCUCUAUGCUGCUGUUUUUCCUGGCUUGAACAUGGAGAGUGUGGCGAUUAACUUUACCGAUGUAUCAAUUGCUGAUAGUUGUCUCUUUCAUGCUAAGCAAACCAAAAUGCACUAAUCCAUUAGCUGCUGUGAAAAUCUGUGAAUCUGGACCGUUGAUUAAUGAGGAUGUUUACACCUUGGGAUAUCAGAAUCCAAAAGUACCUUUUAUCUCCUGGAUCGGUCCGGUUUGUAAGAAAGGCGGAUUUUACUCAUGAUUGUGCUACUUCCUUGUGCCUCAUUUGGGUCCCCUGUCUUUACUGUUGAUGGUCUUUUGGUUGGGAUCUGCUUCGACAAUAGAGGUGCUGUCCGGGCCUAUAAGGUGCAAUCUAUUAUACAACAUGUUCAGAAGAUUCAAACACAGAUAAAAAGCAAGGCAAUCAAGGACAUUUUGCAGCCUUUUAUGGACCAAAAGAAUGUUUUAUUAGAGAAAAGGAAGCCACCAGUUGAUACUAGUGCCGGAGCUUCAAAAAAGAGUAAAACCACACGUUGAUAGCGUCAGUCUAUCAGAGCUUCGAAAAAAGAGAAAAGCCCUUAGCAAUGCACAUAAAAGAUGAAGGCGCAAGCUAACAGAUAGACAGUGGUUACUUUGUGCGUGGAUAUUCGCAUGCUCUAUGACUCGUCAUGCCUCAAUGAUGCUUCUUCACCCGUUUUCAUUUGGCUGAUGGAAAAUCUUUUGGAGGCCAGCUUGUGGAUUGUAGGUGGCUGCCACAAAAUUGUGAUUCCUUUCUAGGGGCAAUCCAGGGCUGUUAAAACCUCUCAAGCUUUCAAAUUGUAGCAGCUGUGUGGUGAUAUGCUUCCUCAGAUUACAGAUUCCGGAUACCCUAUUGGUUUCUUUAUGCUUCCUCAGAUUUCAGAUUCCGGAUACUCUAUUGGUUUCUUUAUGCCUGACCCGCAGAACUGUUUAUUUUUUGAUGCUUGCGUUGCCCUGUGCCCUACUCGCUUAGUGUUGUCUGUUCUUGUGAAACGUGUUUUAGUGGGAAGUCUAGUAAAAAAAACAGGUUUAGUUUUUCAUUCUGUUAACAUGUAUUUAAUACAUCCUCCGUUUGGAUUAUAUAACACCCCCAUCGGUUUGCUUAUGCGGUUGCUUAUCGAAUAAAAAUUUAAAAGUUACAUUA